rnacentral:lncRNA from 1 species
CAGUAGUUUGAUCCUCGAGCGUGGCGAGUGUGUGGGACGAUUCCCUCGCCGAGAACUUUGACAAACUCCUCGCUCUGGUAUGUUUCCACCAGGUGCUUUCGCAAAUCUCUGGCGCUCACGCCAGCUUUUAGCUUCACAUAAAUGGUCGAUUGCAUGCCUCGGCUCUGUUGCAUUGAAACCGCGACGAUAACAUAAGAGGAAGGAGACGUAAGUUUCUUUACCAUUGGCAUCAAAUGUGGUGUGAAGCUGACUUUGAGCUUGGAGCCAGCUGCUUGUGCCAGGCCCUGCUCGAUCUCUGGCACUGCAAAACAAAUCAAAACGUGAGCUUUUCUUACGUGAAACGAGGAACGUGG